rnacentral:rRNA from 1 species
UACGAAGGGUGCAAGCGUUACUCGGAAUUACUGGGCGUAAAGCGUGCGUAGGUGGUUUGUUAAGUCUGAUGUGAAAGCCCUGGGCUCAACCUGGGAAUUGCAUUGGAUACUGGCAGGCUAGAGUGCGGUAGAGGGUAGUGGAAUUCCCGGUGUAGCAGUGAAAUGCGUAGAUAUCGGGAGGAACACCAGUGGCGAAGGCGGCGACCUGGGCCAAUAUUGACGCUGAGGUGCGAAAGCGUGGGGAGCAAACAGG